UACAGAGGGUGCAAGCGUUAAUCGGAAUUACUGGGCGUAAAGCGUGCGUAGACGGUUGCGUAAGUCAGAUGUGAAAGCCCCGGGCUCAACCUGGGAAUUGCAUUUGAGACUGCGUAGCUAGGGUGCGGCAGAGGGGGAUGGAAUUCCGCGUGUAGCAGUGAAAUGCGUAGAUAUGCGGAGGAACACCGAUGGCGAAGGCAAUCCCCUGGGCCUGCACUGACGCUCAUGCACGAAAGCGUGGGGAGCAAACAGG
rnacentral:rRNA from 1 species